rnacentral:rRNA from 1 species
AUUGAACGCUGGCGGCAUGCCUUACACAUGCAAGUCGAACGGCAGCACGGGGCAACCUGGUGGCGAGUGGCGAACGGGUGAGUAAUGCAUCGGAACGUACCUUUCAGUGGGGGAUAACGUAGCGAAAGUUACGCUAAUACCGCAUAUUCUGUGAGCAGGAAAGCAGGCGAUCGCAAGACCUUGCGCUGUUUGAGCGGCCGAUGUCAGAUUAGCUCGUUGGUGGGGUAAAGGCUCACCAAGGCGACGAUCUGUAGCGGGUCUGAGAGGAUGAUCCGCCACAAUGGAACUGAGACACGGUCCAGACUCCUACGGGAGGCAGCAGUGGGGAAUUUUGGACAAUGGGGGCAACCCUGAUCCAGCCAUGCCGCGUGAGUGAAGAAGGCCUUCGGGUUGUAAAGCUCUUUCGGCCGGGAAGAAAUCGCACGGGCUAAUACCCUGUGUGGAUGACGGUACCGGAAUAAGAAGCACCGGCUAACUACGUGCCAGCCGCCGCGGUAACAC